GGAAAGGGAGGGUGGGAAGGCGAUAAGAAGGGAGACGCCGGCGGUUGGCCGCUUCGAGCAUAUAUAUCAUAGAGAGCUUAUUCGUCGUUUGUUUGGAAACCGAGAUCUCGAACAGCUGAUUGUUGGCUACCUGCUGGAAAACUUCCAUAAGAACCAAUGUAGUGGCGGGCUAUCGUGCGGGAUUUCUAUAGUUUGCUGCGUUUGAGAAAGAUAAUAGGUUUGGUUUAUAUUAAUAAACGUAUUAAUUAACCAACGUAGAAAUAUAUUAGUGCUGAAGCUUAUCAGAAAGUUUGUAAAAUAUGGUUUUUUAACUUGAAGACCCAACCCUUGUUUACCCUACUUCAAAUGUAUUUAAUUUAAUAUGGUUACUUCUUGUGUUGCGUACGGAUGUAAUGAGAGAUUCGAAAAAAGAAGCAGUGUUUCGUUUCACAGUUUCCCAGUUGAUGAGAAAAGAAGAAGUAUUUGGACUUUGGCUCUUAAAAGGGUUGAUUUAUAUAUGAUCUUUUGUUUUGAGUAAAGAGCAGACAUUCAUAAAACUAAACAGGGUUGAUGCAUUUGUAAACAAAGAUUGUGCAAUGAUAUGGAUGCCAAUGAUGUGACCAAAUUCUUGUAAUUUAUGUCUUUGGACUAAAUUUAUUUACUACUUAUUAGAAUGUAAACUCAGGAAAUGUAACAUACUGUAUAUGCCUAUGUUUACCAUAAUUAUAUAGUUUUAAGUUUCAUUGAAGCUAAAUGUAAAAUGAUUUUGGAAAAGUAUCUGUAUGUGUGUGUGAAUGACAUACAAUUGUACAUGAACUAUUGUAUUUAAUAAAAUAGAUUUUCUUACUUUUUUUUUUAACUAAAAUGGUUUUCAAUUUUGAUUUAUUAUUUAUUUUAGAACCUGAAACCUCAUAUAUUUAACUGCUGUAAUUUAAACAUAACUUGUUAUUUUUUGUUUACUUUUAAUUGUAGGUAAUUAGAUACUGUAGAUACCUACCAUAUUGUUUUUCAGUUCCUAACUCGGUGGCCAAGGCGGCAGUUCAGCUUGUCGCUCAGCAAGUCAGAAUAUAAUGUCUAUAUUUAAAUGUGUGCUUUAAUAAGAAUAAAUUUGUCAUUCCUUCCUCA